AUGAACUGAAAAAUAGGUCAGGUUAGGUUACAUUAGGUUUCCAUUUCUUUUUUUUUUUUGAAAAUAUCCACCAGCAAAAUUUCGUUCAUCUUGAAAAUAAUAUGGUUCAUACUCAAAAUGUUGAGAACAUGUGGAUGGGAUGCAAAAGGAAACUUCGUCACCAAUUUGGAACUACAGAAGAUUUAUUUCUCUCAUAUAUGCAUGAAUUUAUUUGGAGAAAUAAAUUCCGAAAUGGGGGCCAUUUCAAUGCCAUACUUAAGUGCAUUAGACAACAAUAUCCUCUCUUACAAUAAAUUUUAAUUCCGUAUUUAUUGUUUCGUUUCAUUUCUUUCGAAUUAUUUGCCAGAACAAAGCAUGAUAUAAUGUCAAAUAAAAAUAAAUUACAAUUUCUCCAAAUACGACUUAUAACACAAAUUGGCAACACCGCCCGCAAUUUAGAAGUAAAGCGGGCAGAUAGCGACGUACGUUCUGCAUAGGUUCAUACUUAUCAACCGCAAACACAACAUUACCUAUAAAAGUGUUUAGAUUAGACAGUCAACUGAGAUUUUAUAAUUUUCAGUCUUUGAGUAACCUAAUCAGAAACAUUCCAACUAAGACAUGUGCGACAUAGAGGCAAUGAUAAUCCAUGGAAUUUCUGCGUGGGACUCAGAUUCCGACAGUGGCAAAAGCGAUUUUGAUGAUGAAUAUUACAAAUAUUUACCGCCAUCUACCCCAAUUGACAAGUCAAGAAUUAUUAUAAUACAGCCCAAGUUAGAAUUAAUUCUUUCACCUCAAAAUAUGAUCGAUGUUUUAGAACGAAACAGAACCACUUCCCAUUCGGUUUACGGAGAAGAGAAUAAUAUAAGUCGAUUAAAUAAUAAUACUGGAACAAUACGGAAGCAGAAAUCAGAAAAUUGUCAACCCAAAAGCCACAAUAAAAAGAAGAAAAAAUCAAGUAUGUCAGCAAACAGUUUAAAUACGUUGAACAAUGCACGGCCUCCAAAGACAGUUGCUCAGAAAAAAAUUGAUAGUACGAAAGUGGAUAUCUGGAGCACUUCAGACAAUUUUAAAAAAACAUCAACGGAUAGUCAAACUCGACGUGUUGUUGUUACACAACCCAGGAGACAACGCCAUAAUUCUACAAUUUCGAACACUCACGGAAUAAGAGAAACUGACACAUUCAACCGGCAAAGGCAAAUUUACGCCGAAAGUUACAAUCCUAAUGCGGAUGAUAAUACUGAGAUCUUCGAUGAAACAACCGAAAAUUGUUGUUGUCAUAAAAUAAUGACGUGCCUUGAGUGAGUUAUUAAAUAAACUUCAUUUAAAUGAAUGUUUUAAUAAUACAAAUAUAAUAAAGUUGAAAGAAAUGGUUAGUGAAAGUUAUGUUAGCGAUAAUAUUCAA